rnacentral:rRNA from 1 species
CAGCCGCCGCGGGAAUACGUAGGGGGCAAGCGUUAUCCGGAAUUACUGGGUGUAAAGGGAGCGUAGACGGUUAAACAAGUCUGAAGUGAAAUGCCGGGGCUCAACCCCGGAGCUGCUUUGGGAACUGUAGAACUGGAGUGUCGGAGGGGUAAGCGGAAUUCCCAGUGUAGCGGUGAAAUGCGUAGAUAUUGGGAGGAACACCGGCGGCGAAGGCGGCUUACUGGACGACAACUGACGUUGAGGCUCGAAGGCGUGGGUAGCAAACAGGAUUAGAUACCCCAGUAGUCCCUGUCUCUUAUAC